UCGGCGGGGAAGAAAUCGCAUGGGUCAAUACCCUGUGUGGAUGACGGUACCGGAAUAAGAAGCACCGGCUAACUACGUGCCAGCAGCCGCGGUAAUACGUAGGGUGCGAGCGUUAAUCGGAAUUACUGGGCGUAAAGCGUGCGCAGGCGGUUUGGUAAGUCAGAUGUGAAAUCCCCGGGCUCAACCUGGGAACUGCAUUUGAGACUGCCAAGCUGGAGUUUGGCAGAGGGGGGUGGAAUUCCACGUGUAGCAGUGAAAUGCGUAGAGAUGUGGAGGAACACCGAUGGCGAAGGCAGCCCCCUGGGCCAAUACUGACGCUCAUGCACGAAAGCGUGGGGAGCAAACAGGAUUAGAUACCCUGGUAGUCCACGCCCUAAACGAUGUCAACUAGGUGUUGGGAGGGUUAAACCUUUUAGUGCCGUAGCUAACGCGUGAAGUUGACCGCUGGGGAGUACCGGCCGCAAGGCUAGAACUCAAAGGAAUUGACGGGGACCCGCACAAGCGGUGGAUGAUGUGGAUUAAUUCGAUGCAACGCGAAAAACCUUACCUACCCUUGACAUGUCAGGAAUCCUGGAGAGAUCUGGGAGUGCUCGCAAGAGAACCUGAACACAGGUGCUGCAUGCCUGUCGUCAGCUCGUGUCGUGAGAUGUCGGGUUAAGUCCCGCAACGAGCGCAACCCUUGUCAUUAAUUGCCAUCAUUCAGUUGGGCACCUUAAUGAGACUGCCGGUGACAAGCCGGAGGAAGGUGGGGAUGACGUCAAGUCCUCAUGGCCCUUAUGGGUAGGGCUUCACACGUCAUACAAUGGUCGGUUCAGAGGGUUGCCAACCCGCGAGGGGGAGCCAAUCUCAGAAAGCCGAUCGUAGUCCGGAUCGCAGUCUGCAACUCGACUGCGUGAAGUCGGAAUCGCUAGUAAUCGCGGAUCAGCAUGUCGCGGUGAAUACGUUCCCGGGUCUUGUACACACCGCCCGUCACACCAUGGGAGCGGGUUCUGCCAGAAGUAGUUAGCCUAACCGCAAGGAGGGCGAUUACCACGGCAGGGUUCGUGACUGGGGUGAAGUCGUAACAAGGUAGCCGUA
rnacentral:rRNA from 1 species